rnacentral:rRNA from 1 species
ACCGGAAUAAGAAGCACCGGCUAACUACGUGCCAGCAGCCGCGGUAAUACGUAGGGUGCGAGCGUUAAUCGGAAUUACUGGGCGUAAAAGCGUGCGCAGGCGGUUUGUUAAGAUAGGCGUGAAAUCCCCGGGGCUCAACCUGGGAACUGCGUUUAUGACUGGCAGGCUAGAGUAUGGCAGAGGGGGUGGAAUUCCACGUGUAGCAGUGAAAUGCGUAGAGAUGUGGAGGAACACCGAUGGCGAAGGCAGCCCCCUGGGCCAAUACUGACGCUCAUGCACGAAAGCGUGGGUAGCAAACAGGAUUAGAUACCCUGGUAGUCCACGCCCUAAACGAUGUCAACUAGGUGUUGGGAGGGUAAAACCUUUUAGUACCGGAGCUAACGCGUGAAGUUGACCGCCUGGGGAGUACGGCCGCAAGGUUAAAACUCAAAGGAAUUGACGGGGC